UACGUAGGGUGCGAGCGUGUCCGGAAUUAUUGGGCGUAAAGAGCUUGUAGGCGGUUUGUCGCGUCUGCUGUGAAAAUCCGGGGCUCAACCCCGGACUUGCAGUGGGUACGGGCAGACUAGAGUGUGGUAGGGGAGACUGGAAUUCCUGGUGUAGCGGUGAAAUGCGCAGAUAUCAGGAGGAACACCGGUGGCGAAGGCGGGUCUCU
rnacentral:rRNA from 1 species